rnacentral:piRNA from 1 species
UGAAAGGCUUUGUAAGCACAUCAGGGCAUG